rnacentral:rRNA from 1 species
UGGGGAAUAUUGGACAAUGGGCGAAAGCCUGAUCCAGCCAUGCCGCGUGUGUGAAGAAGGUCUUCGGAUUGUAAAGCACUUUAAGUUGGGAGGAAGGGCAGUAAGCGAAUACCUUGCUGUUUUGACGUUACCGACAGAAUAAGCACCGGCUAACUCUGUGCCAGCAGCCGCGGUAAUACAGAGGGUGCAAGCGUUAAUCGGAAUUACUGGGCGUAAAGCGCGCGUAGGUGGUUCGUUAAGUUGAAUGUGAAAGCCCCGGGCUCAACCUGGGAACUGCAUCCAAAACUGGCGAGCUAGAGUAGGGCAGAGGGUGGGGGAACUUCCUGUGUAGCGGUGAAAUGCGUAGAUAUAGGAAGGAAAACCAGUGGCGAAGGCGACCACCUGGGCUCAUACUGACACUGAGGUGCGAAAGCGUGGGGAGCAAACAGG